UUCUCAUUUAUACGGCAACGCCGACAAUAAUAAAUACAAACAAUUUUUUUUAUAAUUGUGGUUAUUAAGUAGUGUUUUGAUAAUGUCUGACAUUUCUAAAAAUAAGCAAAAAACUAAAAGAACUAAUGGUUGGGAAGAAGCAGGUUGCGAGUUUUAUCAAGAGAAUUAUUGUGCAGAUUGGGAUGGUUUCGCUAAAAACCCUAUAGCAAUAACUACUUUACUACCGUCAAAACAAAACAGGCUAGGCACUUCAAAGCGGAAUUACACCCAGCUCGAUCGAAAACAGAAAAUUUGCUGGCAACAGUUUCCUUCAACCACACAAAGAAAUUAUCAACAGAAUGAUGGGCAAUUUUCUUUGCUACCCGACUUAUCCCAAGUCAUUAAUGACGAGGAACAUAUAUGGGAAGAGAUGUUUCAAAUUAAACAAUUACCAUUAGCAAUGCACCAAAAAAAGGAAUUUAAAUUGGAUUUGCAGUUUUAAAAAAACAAGAUCACAUAUUCAACUUUUUCGUUUUUGAGAGAGCAAAGUAGGUGUGCUUUGGCAGUGGCAUACUCUGAGUCUGAACAAAGAAAAGGAGGGUUUAUUUUGAAGAGAAUAAUAUUAACAUUAAUGACAAGACACAGUGUUUAAGUUUUUGAAUGCAACCAAACUACGUCUGCAAGGAUUUAACCAACUUAAAUGGAAACAUCGCAAAGCUUGGCAAAAAAUUGCUUUAGAGUGGACCAAAUUUAGUACUAUUAUUAAAUUGUGGCAGUCAUCUUUGAAGGAUAUCGAG
rnacentral:misc_RNA from 1 species